CCGGCAGCCCGCCCCGCCUGCCCAGUGUUCAGACUACCUGUUCAGGAACUAGUGGUUGUACAGUAGUCUGCACAUUGGUUAGGCUGGGUGGGGAAGCGCG
rnacentral:pre_miRNA from 8 species